UACAUAGGGAGCGAGCGUUAUCCGGAAUUAUUGGGCGUAAAGGGUGCGUAGACGGGGAAGCAAGUUAGCUGUGAAAUCCCUCGGCUUAACUGAGGAACCGCAACUAAAACUAUUUUUCUUGAGUGCAGGAGAGGUAAGUGGAAUUCCUAGUGUAGCGGUGAAAUGCGUAGAUAUUAGGAGGAACACCAGUGGCGAAGGCGACUUACUGGACUGUAACUGACGUUGAGGCACGAAAGUGUGGGGAGCAAAC
rnacentral:rRNA from 1 species